ensembl:snRNA U2 U2 spliceosomal RNA
AUCACUUCUCGGCCUUUCGGCUAAGAUCAAGUAUCUGUUCUUAUCAGUUUAAUAUCUGAUACGUCCUCUGUCCAAAAUAACCCCCAAAACCAAAAAACCCAGAGACAGAUUUCAUGAAUGCUUAUUAAUACAUUAAUCAUAAGAGCAAUGUCUUCCUCUCACAUCCCCUGGAAAAAAGUAGUACAUUAU